UUACACCGUACUGAUGUGAUAUCUCGUACCAAUCUUUCGCCUUUUACUAAAGAUUGCCGUGUCACAUCAGCUUGGUAGUUAUUACCAGGUCAUAAUAUUUGGGGAGUUUCUACACUCCGACA
rnacentral:snRNA from 1 species